GACGAACGCUGGCGGCGUGCUUAACACAUGCAAGUCGAACGGAAAGGCCCUGCUUUUGUGGGGUGCUCGAGUGGCGAACGGGUGAGUAACACGUGAGUAACCUGCCCUUGACUUUGGGAUAACUUCAGGAAACUGGGGCUAAUACCGGAUAGGAGCUCCUGCUGCAUGGUGGGGGUUGGAAAGUUUCGGCGGUUGGGGAUGGACUCGCGGCUUAUCAGCUUGUUGGUGGGGUAGGGGCUUACCAAGGCUUUGAAGGGUAGCCGGCCUGAGAGGGUGACCGGCCACAUUGGGACUGAGAUACGGCCCAGACGCCUACGGGAGGCAGCAGUGGGGAAUAUUGCACAAUGGGCGGAAGCCUGAUGCAGCAACGCCGCGUGCGGGAUGACGGCCUUCGGGUUGUAAACCGCUUUCGCCUGUGACGAAGCGUGAGUGACGGUAAUGGGUAAAGAAGCACCGGCUAACUACGUG
rnacentral:rRNA from 1 species